CCUGCAGUUAAAGGAUCAUUUUUGUAGUGGUUUCUUCAGUGAAAUACUCUUGUUACACUUAGUUUCUGAGCGUG
rfam:Prunus persica cultivar Lovell chromosome G3, whole genome shotgun sequence.